UGUUAUCUUCAUUCAUUUCUGGAAUCAUGCAUCCCCAAAUCCAUCAACAGAUGGCUAUCCUGGAAGCCAAUACUAGGUUAUGGUACAGUCAUCUAUUUGUGCCAAUGGAAGAGAAAGGAUGAAGAAGAAACAAAAUAUGAUUUACUUUCCAAAGAUUCUGGCUUCCAGCAUUAUAAGGUGGAUUCUUUUACCAGCAAAGAGUCAGCAACCAUGAAUUGCCAAAGGUGCUGUAGUUUGGCAACAAGAUUGCUAACUU
rnacentral:lncRNA from 1 species